GGGAAGGAGAGACCAAGUUGCAGAGAAGAACGUUCCAGACGAGAUAGGGAAAGAGAAGACGAAGUAGCAGAGACGAUAGAGAGGAGAAGACGAGCGUGCGUUAGCGAUUUGCCUUCCCUCUCACCGGUCAAGAUGAACCUUUUCUAGUUAAGUUUUGUCAAAGUCUUGGUUCUUCUAUCUUCUUUUGGCUGCUUUGGGUGAAAAUGAAGCCUGGACUUGCACAAGUUUUUACUGUCACUGUAUGUUGCAAGAGACUUCAUUUUGUUUCAAAUGGCAUCACUUGGAUUAAAUUUGCAUGCACACCAUAUGGAUGGACUAAAUUUGGAGAGCAUGUGCUAUGUUUUCAGUGAACCCAUGAUAUGGUUUCAUGCUUGAUGCACACAAGUUGUUUGAUGAUAUUCCUGAGAGAGAUGUGGUUUCCUAGAUGACCGUGAUGGGUGGACUUGUGGGACUCUGGGAAUUGCUUUGGAGCUUUUGGGAUGUUUUCAUAUGUGUGGGAAGAGUUUAAUGAUGGUAGACAAAUUCAGGUGGGAGGAAAAAUUCAUUCAUGUGCAUUGAAGAAAGGAGUGGGUGGAAAUUGUUUUGUUGCUUUUGCACUGAUUGAACAAUUGUGGCGAUUAGUUGUGUGGCUCAGAAUUGAAGACUAUUUUUGCGUAAAUAGUGGCGGUUACAGGCUGUUAGAAACUUAACACAAACCGCUAGCGGAAUCAUAUUUUUGCCAAUGUAAUUUCAAAUAAAAACUUUUCCUACAUAGACGACAAAUAAAUAAUUUAAUUAA